CGAAAAUCCGUGCUACAGGGCACAGUCACGACGUAGUCACGGAGUUUCCCAGAGAGGUGCUGGUCUGUUGGAGGUAAACACAGAGUCACUUCACGGUACGCUGUACAAAGCAGAAGUAAACAAAUGAUGUCAAACAAAGUCCCGUCACCAUGGCGACAAGCCUUCCAACUUUGAGCACUGCUUAGAAAGGACUAAAAUUCCAGACCUGCCUCGACUCCCCCAGCGUACUGAAGUCAUCAGCCUGGGGUCACUUCACCAGUGACAGAAUGGGGCAGAAAUGGCUAAAAGCAGCCUAAACGAAGCAACUCAGCCUGAACCAGGUACACACCACCUUCCACCCGCCUCGAACCCUGCUAGGCUGGCUCCUGCAUCCUGGGGCCACUCC